rnacentral:rRNA from 1 species
UACGAAGGGGGCUAGCGUUGCUCGGAAUUACUGGGCGUAAAGGGCGCGUAGGCGGCCCUGUUAGUCAGGCGUGAAAUUCCUGGGCUCAACCUGGGGACUGCGCUUGAUACGGCAGAGCUUGAGGAUGGAAGAGGGUCGCGGAAUUCCCGGUGUAGAGGUGAAAUUCGUAGAUAUUGGGAAGAACACCGGUGGCGAAGGCGGCGACCUGGUCCAUUACUGACGCUGAGGCGCGAAAGCGUGGGGAGCAAACAGG